UUAAACGANUGNGCCGUCGUUAGCUCUAGUUUAGGCGUGUCGUUCUAUAAGGACUCACNNNUUGGCGCUGUCCGUUCUCUANAAGAGUCUGAUCCUGGCUCAUGCUGGAUCACCUCCUUAGAGUUUGAUCCUGGCUCAGGCUGGAUCACCUCCUUAAGUUGAUCAUAAGAGCUACAAGUGUAUAGAGAUACAACCUACCUAUAAGAAGUAUAUUAGAUACAUAAGGCUACAGAUNUNGAACAGCUUGGCAGNGCAAGAGCUAUAAACACAUAAGCAAAGUACAGAGCAGAGAGAGAAAAGAGGGUAAAGCAUAUUAGCUUAACCCUAAACCCCUAAAGCGAGCAAGAGAACAGNGGUGAUAAUGUUAAGAAUCUGCUU
rnacentral:sRNA from 1 species